rnacentral:rRNA from 1 species
GAUGAACGCUGGCGGCGUGCCUAAUACAUGCAAGUCGAGCGAACAGACGAGGAGCUUGCUCCUUUGACGUUAGCGGCGGACGGGUGAGUAACACGUAGGUAACCUACCUAUAAGACUGGGAUAACUUCGGGAAACCGGAGCUAAUACCGGAUAAUAUUUCGAACCGCAUUGUUCGAUAGUGAAAGAUGGCUUUGCUAUCACUUAUAGAUGGACCUGCGCCGUAUUAGCUAGUUGGUAAGGUAACGGCUUACCAAGGCAACGAUACGUAGCCGACCUGAGAGGGUGAUCGGCCACACUGGAACUGAGACACGGUCCAGACUCCUACGGGAGGCAGCAGUAGGGAAUCUUCCGCAAAGGGCGAAAGCCUGACGGAGCAACGCCGCGUGAGUGAUGAAGGUCUUCGGAUCGUAAAACUCUGUUAUUAGGGAAGAACAAACGUGUAAGUAACUGUGCACGUCUUGACGGUACCUAAUCAGAAAGCCACGGCUAACUACGUG